GACUUCCGGUCGGCGCCAGCGUUUAAUGGCGGUCCUCGCUUCGAGCUCCGGAGGAGGACUGCUUCGCGAGUUAGGGUCUGACCCGCUACGGCGAGCGGGGGACCCCUAAAAUCACAGGCGCUGAAGCCUGUGAACAAGGAGACUCGGUGGGCACCUUUUGCGCCCCUCGGUACUGUGAAAGAGCCUUUUAAAGGCUACGGAGCGGCAUCGGGGGUAAGCGCGGUGCUGAGAGUCGCAACCCAGCUCGUGGAGUGAAGCCGCAUCGCCAUGAACGGAGAGCGCCGAUUCCUUCCUGAACCAUAAAUUCGACUGUAAACCCCGUGAGUAAGACGGAGGGAUUGAAUGGGACAUUUAAAUUUAAAUUCUGAAAUUUGGCUGAAAACGGGAAAGGCAUAAAUUAAGGAAGUCUGCCUCCCCGAUCUGCAUGGCAAUUAAAGCAACGAAAGAGCAAAGCUGCAUUUGAAAGAAAACUAUCUUUGAGCUGUCAAACCUGACAUUUGACUUAAACUUCCCCCCAGUAAGCAGGAGAAGGGGGGAAGAAAAUUGGACACUGUUAAUCUGCCUGAAAUUAACUGAGGAAAAAACAUCUAUCACUGCCAAAUCCCUGAACGGACUGCCUGAGUAAGGCACUGGGAAAGUGAACUGUCAGUUUAGACUGGAUACAAAGUUGGGGUUUUGUCUGAGACAAAGUUACGGGACUUUAAUGGAAUUACUUUGUUGAACUUGUGACUAUACUGAAAAAGUGCGACAGAAACUUUUACUGUGGACUCUUGGAUUUUUUGUUGAUUGCUCUAUGUUCCUUUGUUCUUUCUCUCUUCACUUGGAUACAAUUAAAUGCUCCCUCUAGAGGGUAUAAAGAGAAACUGUUAUAGUGAAAAAGAAACAGUGGGAUUUUCCACUUGCAAGUCUUUCCUGUGAGAACGACCUUGAGGAUAUGAGUGGUCCAGCAGAAGAGAUAACAACUAGAUCCAAAGCAAAACAGACACAAAAGAAAAGGGGCUCAAUAUCUGGCAUACCACCAGCUGCACAGGAAAAAGUGGCAACAGCAUCUAUGGAUUCAAUGACACAGGCACUGCUCAAAAUAAACCAAUCUUUAGAAGCACUGACAAAGCUAUCUACGGAAAAUUCAAAAAAUUGACAGAACUGACAGCAAGAUUGGACUUGAAUACUGCAAGUGUAACAUCUAAUACAGAAUCUAUUAAUAAAUUAAUUCAAGAAAGUUCUGAAACACGAAAGAUUGCUGAAAGUGCAAAAAAUACUGCAGAGGAGACAAGGGAGGAGCUUGUGCCGAUUACAAAAAAAGUGAAUGAACAUGAUGCAGCCCUAUCUUUGCUGGAAUUAC
rnacentral:lncRNA from 1 species